rnacentral:rRNA from 1 species
GAUGAACGCUGGCGGCGUGCCUAAUACAUGCAAGUCGAGCGAAAAGACGCGGAGCUUGCUGGUCUGACGUUAGCGGAGGACGGGAGAGAAACACGAGGAUAACCUACCUAUAAGAGUGGGAAAACUACGGGAAAGGGGAGCUAAUACGGGAUAAUAUAUUGAAGCGCGUGGGGCAAUAGAGAGAGACGGUGUUGGUGUAACUAAUAGAGGGAUACGCGCCGCAUUAGCUAGUUGGUAAGGUAACGGCUUACCAAGGCGACUAUGCGUAGCCGACCUGAGAGGCUGAUCGGCCACCCUGGAGCUGGGACACCCUCCAUGCUCCUGCGGGAGGCAGCAGUAGGGUAUCUUCCGCAAUGGUCGAAAGCCUGGCGGAGCAACGCCGCGUGUGUUAUGAAGGUCUUCGGUUCGUAAUACUCUCUUAUUAGGGAAGAACCAAUUUCUACUUUACUGUGCCCGUCUUGACGGUACCUAGUCAGAAAGCCACGGCUAACUACGUG